UACGUAGGGGGCAAGCGUUGUCCGGAUUCAUUGGGCGUAAAGAGCGUGUAGGCGGCCAGGUAGGUCGGUUGUGAAAACUGGAGGCUCAACCUUCAGACGUCGACCGAAACCAUCUGGCUAGAGUCCGGGAGAGGAGAGUGGAAUUCCUGGUGUAGCGGUGAAAUGCGCAGAUAUCAGGAAGAACACCCGUGGCGAAGGCGGCUCUCUGGUACGUGACUGACGCUGAGACGCGAAAGCGUGGGGAGCGAACAGG
rnacentral:rRNA from 1 species